rnacentral:lncRNA from 1 species
UGAGGCCAAGCAGGACCCAGGAGCUCUUGUGACACAGCAGGACUCUGACACCAUCUCCUGACUCUCAUCAAAUAUUCCGUAGGGCUUUGGGUGUGCCUCUGCAUUGGGAGAGGAUCACACUCUAGAGGCCCAGAGACAUCCUCAAAAAGAGCAACACAGAAAACCAGAAAACGCUACAAGACGCCAGCACUCUGCCUGGUGUACCACACUCAUGCCAGAGGUGUGAGCUGAGCAUAUGCUGUUCCUCUCAUUGCUGUUGUAGUCUUCGCUGGCGUCUUGCUAACCAAGGCACACGGUGGGGAGUGGAGAUGGGGGUUUGGAGAGAGGGGGCUCACUUUCAACUUGAAUGCUCAUGGCAAGGCUUGAGCAAGCAAGUGGCUUCUGGAUUUGUGAGAUAUUUGAACCGGUGAUGAAGAGAGGAAGCAAAAGGAGCCAGCCUGAGCACAGGUGUUGUG